UCGCGAUACGCCCCUCUGUCCGCCGCUCUGGAACCCUCCCCUGCAUUCCUUUUCUUUGUUUCGCUUCGCCCUCUGCUUCGAUCUUUUCCCGUUCUUGUUCCGUUUUCUGACGCAGAUUCCUUUUCGUGUUCUUUCUUUGUUCCAUGUUCUUGUUUGAUCUUGUGACGUAGGGUCGUUGGUCUGUUUUUUAUUGUUCUUUUUCGAAUCUUUUCUUGUUCCGACGCAUAUUCCUUUUCGUGUUCUUUCUUUGUUCCAUAUACUUGUUCGAUCUUGUGACGCAGGGUCGUUGGCCCGAUUUUUCUUGUUCUUGUUCGAAUAUUUUGGCGCAGAUUUCUCUUCCUGUUCUUUCUUCUUCUUGUUCGAUCUUUGACGCAGGUCCUUCUCGUGAUUUAUUCCUGUUCUAUUCGACCAUUUGGCGCAGAUUCUAAGGUCCCGCAGAUCGGAAGAGACGGCGAGGUUCUUGAGGGAUUCAGAUGGCGGUGGCGUCGAGGCUGGUUCUUGAUGGGAACCCGAUCAGGCCAGCCACGAUCUGUUUGAUCGGGGCCGGGAGUUCAUCGGAUCCCACCUAUGCGAGAAACUGAUGGCGGUGACGCUCCACAGCGACAAGAUCAAACAACUCCUCGGUCCGCCGCCAGAGGUGUAGCAGGAGGCGCGCACCACCCUUGGGACUUCCAGAUCCACUUCCACCGCCUCUUCAUCAAGCACGUCUCCAUCUGGUUUUCCUUCCCCUUUUCAAGAUCCUGUUUCGGAUACCCUGCAUUACCUCCAUGUCCCGCUCUACCAUUUGAUCUUUUCUUAGUGAACUAUUCCCUUUCUCGACGCGUCGUCUAAUUCUUUGAGCGGAUCCGCAUUCCUGUCACCGUGUUUUCUUUGUUGCACGAGAAAUCCAAUCUUGAAUUAGUUCUUGUGCACAACUUCUUUUCCCAUAGAGAUGACCAACGUAACUAACUGCAUUGACGCUCGUCCAGUUGGAAGCUGUGGGAUUUCUUGGUCCCUUCUCUUACAUUUAGGUUUUACCGUGGCUUAUUUAUUUUGUGAUUGCUUGACGUUUGGUGGUUGUUCAGGUCAUGUAUUGCUUGGAUAGCGACAAGCGCCUGAUUCGCUUCACCACUUGUGAAGUCUAUGGGACAGAAACUGGAAGCCUUCUUUCCAAGGAUCACCCUCUAAGAAAGGUGCCCGUUUCACUCCUUCGAUCAAAACGUCUCAGUAACUUGUCAUAGACCAUCUAAAGCUGAGGGUGCAGAGCAUUGUCUGGAGUUCACCAUUGUGAGCCAUGGCAAGGGAUUUCCUAGAAUUUGGCAUGAUUCAGCAAUGUGCCUGUGAGGGACGUGCGAGUCUCAAGGAAUUCUGUGGUAAAGGAUAUGUGGACAGUGAUAAGCAGAUUGCCAACGUGAUCGUAAUCAUUAAGGAACUUUGGUUGGAACGCGCAAGACAUACCUGCGGGACAUUCUGGAAUUGACACUGAUCUAUUGACAGCCAACAAGAGAGGGUGCGUCGGUCCGCAAAAAGCAUUCUGUUAUCUUUUCCGUUGAUUAGCUUCGAUGAUUCAAAUCCUGUUGACUCGUUGUUGUGUCCUCUGGAAGUGGUUUUAUAUGCCAUGUUACCGGUGUGGUAUUAUCCAUGGCCCGCCACAUAUAGAGAGCAUUCUGUUCCAUGUUCUAUUAUCCAUCUGCUAAUUCAUGAACUUAGUC